rnacentral:rRNA from 1 species
UACAGAGGGCGCAAGCGUUGUUCGGAUUCAUUGGGCGUAAAGGGUGUGUAGGUGGCGCGCUAAGUCUGAUGUGAAAGCCCGGGGCUCACCCCCGGAAGGGCAUUGGAAACUGGCGGACUCGAGUCCCGGAGAGGAGGGUGGAAUUCCCGGUGUAGCGGUGAAAUGCGUAGAGAUCCGGAGGAACACCAGUGGCGAAGGCGGCACGCUGGGCCGUACCUGACACUAAGACGCGACAGCGUGGGGAGCAAACAGG